UAUAAGCAAUUAUACCGCGAAACUGCGAAUGGCUCAUUAUAUAAGUUAUCGUUUAUUUGAUAGUACCUUACUACUUGGAUAACCGUGGUAAUUCUAGAGCUAAUACAUGCUAAAAAUCCCGACUUCGGAAGGGAUGUAUUUAUUAGAUUAAAAACCAAUGCCCUUCGGGGCUCACUGGUGAUUCAUGAUAACUCCUCGAAUCGCAUGGCCUUGUGCCGGCGAUGGUUCAUUCAAAUUUCUUCCCUAUCAACUUUCGAUGUUUGGGUAUUGGCCAAACAUGGUUGCAACGGGUAACGGAGGGUUAGGGCUCGACCCCGGAGAAGGAGCCUGAGAAACGGCUACUACAUCCAAGGAAGGCAGCAGGCGCGCAAAUUACCCAAUCCCGACACGGGGAGGUAGUGACAAUAAAUACUGAUACAGGGCUCUUUUGGGUCUUGUAAUUGGAAUGAGUACAAUUUAAAUCCCUUAACGAGGAACAAUUGGAGGGCAAGUCUGGUGCCAGCAGCCGCGGUAAUUCCAGCUCCAAUAGCGUAUAUUAAAGUUGUUGUGGUUAAAAAGCUCGUAGUUGAACCUUGGGCCUGGCUGGCCGGUCCGCCUCACCGCGUGUACUGGUCCGGCCGGGCCUUUCCCUCUGUGGAACCCCAUGCCCUUCACUGGGUGUGGCGGGGAAACAGGACUUUUACUGUGAAAAAAUUAGAGUGCUCC
rnacentral:rRNA from 1 species